rnacentral:rRNA from 1 species
UGGGGAAUUUUGCGCAAUGGGCGAAAGCCUGACGCAGCAACGCCGCGUGGAGGAUGAAGGUGCUCUGCAUUGUAAACUCCUGUCGGCCGGGAAGAAUCGGCGGGGUGCUAAUCAGCCCCGUCUUGACUGUACCGGCAAAGGAAGCCCGGCUAACUCCGUGCC